GGGGGGCUGGCGCAACGGUAGCGCGUUCGACUCCAGAUCGAAAGGUUAUCUGUUCAAAUCAGGUGUCCCUCA
rnacentral:tRNA from 1 species